GGUUCGAUCCUGGCUCAGAUUGAACGCUGGCGGGAUGCUUUACACAUGCCGAACGGCAGCACGGACUUCGGUCUGGUGGCGAGUGGCGAACGGGUGAGUAAUGUAUCGAACGUGCCUAGUAGCGGGGAUAACUACGCGAAAGCGUAGCUAAUACCGCACAUUGCCCUUCGGGAAAGCGGGGGACCUUCGCCCGCACUAUUAGAGCGGCCGAUAUCGUGGAUUAGCUAGUUGGUGGGGUAACGGCUCACCAAGGCGACGAUCCGUAGCUGGUUUGAGAGGACGACCAGCCACACUGGGACUGAGACACGGCCCAGACUCACGGGAGGCAGCAGUGGGGAAUUUUGGAGCAAUGGGGGAAACCCCUGAUCCAGCCAUCCCGGCGUGUGCGAUGAAGGCCUUCGGGCGAAAAGCACUUUUGGCAGGAAAGAAACGGUACGGGAUAACACCGUGCAACUGACGGUACCUGCAGAAUAAGCACCGGCUAACUACGUGCCAGCAGCCGCGGUAAUACGUAGGGUGCAAGCGUUAAUCGGAAUUACUGGGUAAAGCGUGCGCAGGCGGUUCGGAAAGAAAGAUGUGAAACUUCAGAGCUUAACUUUGAACUGCAUUUUUAACUACCGAGCUAGAGGUCAGAGGGAGGUGGAAUUCUGCGUGUAGCAGUGAAAUGCGUAGAUAUGCGGAGGAACACCGAUGGCGAAGGCAGCCUCCUUAGAUAACAUUGACGCUCAUGCACGAAAGCGUGGGGAGCAAACAGGAUUAGAUACCCUGGUAGUCCACGCCCUAAACGAUGUCAACUAGCUGUUGGGGCCUUCGGGCCUGCAGCGCAGCUAACGUUAUGGUUGACCGCCUGGGGAGUACGGUCGCAAGAGGAUUAAAACCCCAAAGGAAUUGACGACCCGCACAAGCGGUGGAUGAUGUGGAUUAAUUCGAUGCAACGCGAAAACCUUACCUACCCUUGAUAUGUCUGAAUCAGAAGAGAUUUGGGAGUGCUCGCAAGAGAACCGGAACACAGGUGCUGCAUGGCCGUCGUCAGCUCGUGUCGUGGAGAUGCUGUUGAGCCCGCAACGAGCGCAACCUUUGUCAUUAGUUGAGCAUGAAAGUGGGGCAAUCUAAUGAGACUGCUGCAGACAAACUGAGGAAGGUGGGAUGCUUUUAUGUCAAGUCCCCAAUCUUGGCGGGUAGGGCUUCGCACGUCAAGUACAAUGCGCCCGGGACAGAGGGUCGCCAACCCGCGAGGGGGAGCCAAUCCCAGAAACCCGAUCGUAGUCCGGAUCGGGUAGUCUGCAACCUGGACUGCAGGAAGUCGGAAUCGCCAGUAAUCGCGGAUCAGCAGCGUCGCGUGAAUACGUUCGGGUCUUGUGCCACCGCCUGGUCACACCAUGGGAGUGGGUUUACCAGAAGUAGUUAGCCUAACCGUAAGGAGGGCGAUUACCACGUAGGAUUCAUGACUGGGUGAAGUCGUAACAAGGUAG
rnacentral:rRNA from 1 species